rnacentral:rRNA from 1 species
GUGGCGAGUGGCGAACGGGUGAGUAAUACAUCGGAACGUGCCCUGUCGUGGGGGAUAACUAGUCGAAAGAUUAGCUAAUACCGCAUACGACCUGAGGGUGAAAGCGGGGGACCGCAAGGCCUCGCGCGAUAGGAGCGGCCGAUGUCUGAUUAGCUAGUUGGUGGGGUAAAGGCCCACCAAGGCGACGAUCAGUAGCUGGUCUGAGAGGACGAUCAGCCACACUGGGACUGAGACACGGCCCAGACUCCUACGGGAGGCAGCAGUGGGGAAUUUUGGACAAUGGGGGCAACCCUGAUCCAGCAAUGCCGCGUGUGUGAAGAAGGCCUUCGGGUUGUAAAGCACUUUUGUCCGGAAAGAAAUCCCUUGCUCUAAUAAAGCGGGGGGAUGACGGUACCGGAAGAAUAAGCACCGGCUAACUACGUGCCAGCAGCCGCGGUAAUACGUAGGGUGCGAGCGUUAAUCGGAAUUACUGGGCGUAAAGCGUGCGCAGGCGGUUUUGUAAGACAGGCGUGAAAUCCCCGAGCUCAACUUGGGAAUGGCGCUUGUGACUGCAAGGCUAGAGUAUGUCAGAGGGGGGUAGAAUUCCACGUGUAGCAGUGAAAUGCGUAGAGAUGUGGAGGAAUACCGAUGGCGAAGGCAGCCCCCUGGGACGUCACUGACGCUCAUGCACGAAAGCGUGGGGAGCAAACAGGAUUAGAUAC